CCUACGGGAGGCAGCAGUGGGGAAUAUUGGGCAAUGGGCGCAAGCCUGACCCAGCAACGCCGCGUGAAUGAAGAAGGCUUUCGGGUUGUAAACUUCUUUUCUGAGGGACGAAGAAAGUGACGGUACCUCAGGAAUAAGCCACGGCUAACUACGGGCCAGCAGCCGCGGUAAUACGUUGGUGGCAAGCGUUAUCCGGAUUUAUUGGGUGUAAAGGGCGUGUAGGCGGGAAAGCAAGUCAGAUGUGAAAACUCAGGGCUCAACCCUGAGCCGGCAUUUGAAACUGUUUUUCUUGAGUGCUGGAGAGGCGAUCGGAAUUCCGUGUGUAGCGGUGAAAUGCGUAGAUAUACGGAGGAACACCAGUGGCGAAGGCGGAUUGCUGGACAGUAACUGACGCUGAGGCGCGAAAGCGUGGGGAGCAAACAGGAUUAGAUACCCUUGUAGUC
rnacentral:rRNA from 1 species